UUGACGGGGCCCGCACAAGCGGCGGAGCAUGCGGAUUAAUUCGAUGCAACGCGAAGAACCUUACCAAGGCUUGACAUACACCGGUAACGCCCAGAGAUGGGUGCCCCUUGUGGUCGGUGGACAGGUGGUGCAUGGUUGUCGUCAGCUCGUGUCGUGAGAUGUUGGGUUAAGUCCCGCAACGAGCGCAACCCUCGUCCUAUGUUGCCAGCGGGUCAUGCCGGGGACUCAUGGGAGACUGCCGGGGUCAACUCGGAGGAAGGUGGGGAUGACGUCAAAUCAUCAUGCCCCUUAUGUCUUGGGCUUCACGCAUGCUACAAUGGCCGGUACAAAGGGCUGCGAUACCGCGAGGUGGAGCGAAUCCCAGAAAGCCGGUCUCAGUUCGGAUUGGGGUCUGCAACUCGACCCCAUGAAGUCGGAGUCGCUAGUAAUCGCAGAUCAGCAACGCUGCGGUGAAUACGUUCCCGGGCCUU
rnacentral:rRNA from 1 species